UGACGGUAACUUACCAGAAAGGGACGGCUAACUACGUGCCAGCAGCCGCGGUAAUACGUAGGUCCCGAGCGUUGUCCGGAUUUAUUGGGCGUAAAGCGAGCGCAGGCGGUUUAAUAAGUCUGAAGUUAAGGCAGUGGCUUAACCAUUGUUCGCUUUGGAAACUGUUAGACUUGAGUGCAGAAGGGGAGAGUGGAAUUCCAUGUGUAGCGGUGAAAUGCGUAGAUAUAUGGAGGAACACCGGUGGCGAAAGCGGCUCUCUGGUCUGUAACUGACGCUGAGGCUCGAAAGCGUGGGGAGCAAACAGGAUUAGAUACCCUG
rnacentral:rRNA from 1 species